CAAGGUUUAGUCAUUUUCAGCUUUAUUGGGAUAUCGAUAAUGUAUAUAAUGAAGCCCUGUGAUAGUAUUUGGGUUUGGAUAUUCCUAUUUAUUUUUAAUUUCAUCAGCAAAGUUGAAAGUGAUUGUUCGCUGAGUUGUGACAAUUAUCAUUGUCCUUGUGAAUGCUACAAAAAUGAGGUGCAGUGUUCGAACAGAAGUAUCACAGAGAUUCUGAGAUUUCCAGGCCAUAUACUUGCACAGGUUCUUGAUCUUGACAACAACUUUAUAACAGAACUUGAAUCCAAAGAUUUCAACCAAAAGUACAU